ACCCGCUGAAACUUAAGCAUAUCAAUAAGCUUGAGGAAAAGAAACCAACAGGGAUUGCCUUAGCUAACGGCGAGUGAAGCGGCAAAAGCUCAAAUUUGAAAUCUGGCACCUUCGGUGUCCGAGUUGUAAUUUGAAGAAGGUAACUUUGGAGUUGGCUCUUGUCUAUGUUCCUUGGAACGGGACGUCACAGAGGGUGAGAAUCCCGUGCGAUGAGAUGCCCAAUUCUAUGUAAAGUGCUUUCGAAGAGUCGAGUUGUCUUGGGAAUGCAUCUCUAAGUGGGUGGUGAAUUACCCAUCUAAAGCUAAAUAUUGGCGAGAGACCGAUAGCGAACAAGUACAGUGAUGGAAAGAUGAAAAGAACUUUGAAAAGAGAGUGAAAAAGUACGUGAAAUUGUUGAAAGGGAAGGGCUUGAGAUCAGACUUGGUAUUUUGCAAGCCUUACCUUCGUGGUGGGGUCCCCUGCAGUUUACUGGGCCAGCAUCGGUUUGGAUGGUGGGAUAAUGACUUGGGAAUGUGGCUUUGCUUCGGUAAAGUGUUAUAG
rnacentral:rRNA from 1 species